CCUGGCUCAGGAUGAACGCUGGCGGCGUGCUUAACACAUGCAAGUCGAACGAAGCAACUUGUCAGAUCCCUUCGGGGUGACGACUUGUUGACUGAGUGGCGGACGGGUGAGUAACGCGUGGGUAACCUACCUUGUACGAGGGGGACAACAGUUGGAAACGACUGCUAAUACCGCAUAAGCGCACAGCUUUGCAUGAAGCAGUGUAGAAAAGUAUUUCGGUACAAGAUGGACCCGCGUCUGAUUAGCUAGUUGGUGAGGUAACGGCCCACCAAGGCGACGAUCAGUAGCCGACCUGAGAGGGUGACCGGCCACAUUGGGACUGAGACACGGCCCAAACUCCUACGGGAGGCAGCAGUGGGGAAUAUUGCACAAUGGGCGAAAGCCUGAUGCAGCGACGCCGCGUGAGCGAAGAAGUAUUUCGGUAUGUAAAGCUCUAUCAGCAGGGAAGAUAAUGACGGUACCUGACUAAGAAGCACCGGCUAAAUACGUGCC
rnacentral:rRNA from 1 species